rnacentral:lncRNA from 1 species
AAGAAGCUCAAAAUCACCAGUAGAGGAAACAAGUGAUGGAUAAACAAAGUAUAAUUUAUUUAAGCCAAAAAUAAUUAACAGAUCCUUCAAAGGAAUCAGAGACAGACACCAGGGCUCACUGCUGAGAAAACAGUCCCACUGACUGCGUUGCUCCCGUGCCGUGACUCAGGUCCCACCCUCCCUUCCUUGCCCUGUCUGGGCUUGGCUCUGCAUAUCAGGAGGGCUGGAACAGGCAAGAAGCUUUGCCCAAGCUUUGCUAACUGGCUUUCACCUGAGUUUGGCCACCAGGAGGCUAGUGGCAGUGUUCUGGGGCAAGAGAAAAACCAAGAUGUUUUGACUGCUGUGUCUUUUCCACAUGUCAGCUCCCAUCCCAGUCCACAUGAUUUCAGCUUCCUCUGGCCAACCACAGCUCUAGUCUCCUUUCCUUUGCCCUUCAGCCUGGAGUGGAAGCAGCUUCUUGUCGUCACUAAGUCGUCACUUGCUUUACUGUCCCCUAGUUGAUCUCUCAGCCUCUUCCAUCACCUGUGUAACUAGACCCCUGCAUUAAAUUCGCACUGGUUUGAAUUUUCAGAGUAUUUGGAUUUUCCUGGUUGGACCCUGUCUUAGGUCUUAUGAUCCUGUCCUCUAAGCAGAACCUGAAACAUUCUUGCAAAAGUGAUGGAUUAAGGGAUGCUCUCAGGAGAAGCAGACUGAGAAAAAUAGGAUAGGGCAGGGAAGGAAGCUGAGCAAGCAUGAGUCUUGCCUAGAAACCCACUUUGGCCUGGUCCCUCAGGGAACUCUGGCCCACUCAUUGCACCACAGAGUUGGAGCCCCCUUGAGGCAAGGGGGUGAUCAAUCACCUUAUUUGCCUGAGACUGAAAGGUUUCCAAGAAUGUGGGACGUUCAACACUAAAACUAGAACAGUCCUAAGCAAACCAGGAUGUUUGGUCACUUAUAAGACAAUCAGUAUUGGCCCAACCUGGAGUGAGGCAGAGUGCUUCUCCUGAGAAGGGAAAGCUGUAAACAUUAGGAACCAACAUUCUCUGAAGCCAGGGAUGGGCUCACUAGGCAGGGAGGGGGAUCUCGGCAGGACACCUCAGCACCUGCUAUAGACUCCAAUUGAUAGGGUUUCCUUCAAUUCCGCAUCCAAGCUGUUAUAUGUGAAUCCAUUAGGUUUACAACUCCAAAGCUACAGCCAGGGGCCAGACUGGCGGCAUUGUGGUUAAGUUCAUGCGCUCCGCUUCAGCAGCCCAGGGUUCACGGGUUCAGAUCCAGGCACAGAUCUGCACACCUCCCAUCAAGCCCCGCCAUGGCGGCAUCCACAUGCAGAAUAGCGGAAGAUUGACACAGAUGUUAGCUGAGCGACAAUCUUCCUCACUGAAAAAAGAACACAAGGCACUGCCAAUUUCCUCAUUAAAACCAAAUGAUUAAAUCAUCGUCAAUAACUCAUCACU